UAAUUAUAUGUUCAUCCAUUGAUCUCAUCCGAUCCAUACACUCUACUUUUUCUUUUCAGACAAUUAAUUGAAUCUAUGGCAUCAUCAUCUUCUUCUGCGAGUAAUUCACAGUAUUGUCCUCCAUGGAAGUACGAUGUCUUUCUAAGUUUCAGAGGAGAUGAUACCCGGAAUAACUUUACAAGUCACUUGAACAAAGGUUUGGAAAAUAGGGGAAUAGCCACCUUUCUAGACGAUGAAAGACUAGAGGAUGGCGAUUCCAUCUCAGAAGAACUCAUGCAAGCGAUAGAAGAGUCUCAAGUUGCCAGAAUCGUUUUCUCAAAGAAUUAUGCUAAGUCAAGUUGGUGCUUGAAUGAAAUAGUGAAGAUUAUGGAAUGCAAGGAGAAAGAAAAUAGACAAACAGUUAUACCGAUCUUCUAUUAUGUGAAUCCAUCACAUGUUCGAUACCAAAGUGAGAGCUUUGCAGAAGCUUUUGCCAAACACGAAUCGAGGUAUAAGGAUGAUGUUGAGGGGAUGCAGAAGGUUCAAGGAUGGAGGAAUGCCCUAACUGCUGCUGCAGAUCUAAAAGGACAUGAUAUUCAUGACGGGAUUAAUCAAUCAAAGAAAAUUGAUCAGAUCGUCGACCACAUCUGUUCCAAACUUUGCAAGAGUGCUCGUUUUUUUUCUGAUUUGCAAGAUGUUGUGGGAAUAAAUUCUCAUUUAGAGGAUCUAAAAUCCCUACUUCAAAUAGAAAUCAAUAAUGUUCGGAUUGUAGGAAUCUGGGGAACAGGUGGAAUCGGUAAAACAACAAUAGCAAAUGCCAUCUUUGAUACUCUAUCCAAUCAAUUUGAAGCAGCUUGUUUUCUUGCGAAUGUUAAAGAAAAUGCAAAAAAGAAUCAACUGCAUUCUUUACAAAAUACCCUUCUGUCUGUACUAUUAAGAAAAAAAGAUGAUUACGUUAGUAAUGGUUAUGAUGGGAAGCGCAUGAUUAAGAGCAGACUUUCUUCUAUGAAGGUGUUGAUUGUGCUUGAUGACAUAGAUCAUGGUGAUCAUUUGGAGUAUUUAGCAGGUGAUGUUGAUUGGUUUGGUAAUGGUAGCAAAGUUGUUGUAACAACUAGAAACAGAAAAUUGAUAGAGAAUAAUGAUGCAAUAUAUAAAGUGCCUACACUACCUGAUGAUGAAGCUAUGAAAUUGUUCAAUCAACAUGCUUUCAAAAAAGAAGUUCCAGAUGAGUGUUUUAAGAAGUUCUCAUUGGAGGUAGUAAAUCAGGCUAAAGGGCUUCCUUUAGCCCUCAAGGUGUGGGGUUCUUUGCUGCAUAAGAAAGGCAUAGAUAAGUGGAAAAGAAUUGUAGACCAAAUAAAGAAAAACUCUAAUUCAGAAAUUUUUGAAAAACUCAAAAUAAGUUAUGAUGGAUUGGAGCCCGAAGAGCAAACGAUAUUUCUAGAUAUCGCAUGUUUCUUCCGAGGAGAUGAAAGAAAAGAAGUCAUGCAAAUUGUUGAGAGCUAUGAUUCUAGAGUUGAAUACAUAUUGGAUGUCCUAAUUGACAAAUCCUUUGUGUUCAUCUCUAAAUAUGAUAGAAUUGAAAUGCAUGACUUGAUUGAAGAUAUGGGCAAAUACAUAGUGAAAAUGCAAAAAGAUUCCGGAAAACCUAGCAGAAUAUGGAAUGCUGAAGAUUUCGAAGAUGUGAUGACUGACAAUAUGGGGACAAGGGCAAUGGAAGCAAUCUGGUUUAGUUAUUCUGAAAAACUAUGCUUUAGCAAAGAGGCAAUGAAAAAUAUGCAAAGGCUUAGGAUAUUAAGCAUAUUUCCUAAAGACGGAUCUUAUAGGACACCCUACUUCAUUAAAACCGACUCCAAUUGCCCUGAUGGCUCCAUUGAGUACCUGCCCAACAACUUGCGUUGGUUUGCCUGGUUUGAUUAUCCUUGGAAGUUAUUGCCAGAAAAUUUUAAUUCCAGAAGGCUUGUUCAUCUUGAUCUCCGAUGGAGUUCAUUGCAUUAUUUAUGGAAUGAAACAAAGCUGCCGCAAUUUCCUUCUCUACAAAGGAUAGAUCUAUGUGGCUCUAAAAGUCUGAAGAGAACAGCAGAUUUUGAGGGGAUGCCAAAUUUGGAGUAUUUGGAUCUUUGUGGAUGUUCGAGUCUUGAAGAAGUUCAUCCUUCCCUCAAGCAUUGCAAAAAACUUAUCCAGUUAAAUCUGUCUGAUUGUACAAAACUUGAGAGGUUUCCAUAUGUUAAUGUGGAAUCUCUGACUCUAGAAUACUGCUCUAGUUUAGAGAAAUUUCCAGAAAUCCUUGGAAUAAGGGAACUGCCAUUAUCUUUGAAUGGCAUGGAAAACCUUGUAUCUCUUCCAAGCAGCAUUUGUAAGUCGAAAGGUUUGGUGAAACUAUCUGUGUCGAAUUGCUCAAAACUUGAAAGCUUGCCAGAAGAGAUAGGUGAUUUGGAAAACUUAGAGUAUCUUAAUGCCGACUGUACUCUAAUCUCACAACCUCCGUCUUGCAUCGUCCGGUUGAACAAGCUUAAAAGUUUGAGUUUUGGACAACAUAGAUCAGAAGAUGGAGUGUACUUUGUGUUCCCUCUGGUGAAUAAAGGGUUACUCUCAUUGGAAUAUCUGGAUCUCAGUUACUGCAAUUUAAAAGAUGGAGGACUUCCAGAAGACAUUGGAUCCUUAUCCUCUUUGAAAGAGUUGAAUCUCAGUGGAAAUAAUUUUGAGCAUUUGCCUCAAAGCAUAUCUGAACUUGGUGCUCUUCGAUGCUUGAUCUUAUCAGAUUGCGAGAAGCUUACACAGCUGCCAGAAUUUCCACAGCAAUUAGAUACAAUAUAUGCAGAUUGGAGCAACGAUUGGAUCUGUAAUUCGUUGUUUCAGAUUAUGUCAUCAUUGCAGCAUGACAUCUGUUCUUCACAUUCCUUGUCACUAAGAGUGUUUGUGAGUUGGGUGGUGGAUAUCCCAAGUUGGUUCAAGUAUCAGGGAAUGGGCACAAGUGUAUCAGUCAAUUUGCCUAAGAAUUGGUAUGUAAGUGAUAACUUCUUGGGAUUUGCUGUAUGUUAUUUUGGCAAACUAAUUGAUUGCAUCACAGCUCAUUUGAUUCCCUUAUCAUGUGAUGAUGGGAUGUCGUCAAUGACCCACGAAUUUGCCUUAUCCAACAAUUCACAAUAUUCUGAUGAAUGGAAUAUGAAAUUUUUGUUGGUACCUCUUGGUGGCUUAUGGGAUGCAUCUAAUGCAAAUGAAAAAACACCAAAUGACUAUGGGUGCAUUAAGUUAGAUUUUAUUGGAGAAAGAGAUGAUGAUUUUGGAAAAGAAAAGAAAAUUGGAGUUCGUUUGUUGUAUAAAAAUGAAUCUGAGCUUUGCAUUGGGAUAAUGAAGAGCAGAUAUGAAGAAGAGGCCACUUGCUCCUCUCCUAAGAAACUCUUGCAGCUCUUUCCCACAAGCCCGGGAUUAUUAGUUUUUCUUUUCAGACAAUUAAUUGAAUCUAUGGCAUCAUCUUCUUCUGCGAGUAAUUCACAAUACUGUCCUCCAUGGAAGUACGAUGUCUUUCUAAGUUUCAGAGGAGAUGAUACCCGGAAUAACUUUACAAGUCACUUGAACAAAGGUUUGGAAAAUAGGGGAAUAGCCACCUUUCUAGACGAUGAAAGACUAGAGGAUGGCGAUUCCAUCUCAGAAGAACUUGUGCAAGCAAUAGAAGAGUCUCAAGUUGCCGUAAUCAUUUUCUCAAUGAAUUAUGCUAAGUCAAGUUGGUGCUUGAAUGAAAUAGUGAAGAUUAUGGAAUGCAAGGAGAAAGAAAACAGACAAACAGUUAUUCCGAUCUUCUAUUAUGUGGAUCCAUCACAUGUUCGAUACCAAAGUGAGAGCUUUGCGGAAGCAUUUGCCAAACAUGAAUCAAGGUAUAAGGAUGAUGUUGAGGGGAAGCAGAAAGUGCAAGGGAGGAGAAAUGCCCUAACAGCUGCCGCAAAUCUAAAAGGACAUGAUAUUCAUGACCUGAUUAAUCAAUAAAUGAAAAUUGAUCAGAUCGUCGACCACAUCUCUUCCAAACUUUGCAAGAGUGCUCGUUUUUUGUCUUAUUUGCAAGAUGUUGUGGGAAUAAAUUCUCAUUUAGAGGAACUAAAAUCCCUACUUCAAAUAGAAAUCCAUAAUGUUCUGAUUGUAGAAAUCUGGGGAACAGGGGGAAUUGGUAAAACGAUGAUAGCAAAAACCAUCGUUGAUACUCUAUCUCAUCAAUUUCAAGCAGCUUGUUUUCUUGUGGAUGCUAAAGAAAAUGCAAGAAAGAAUCAACUACAUUUCUUACAAAAUACCCUUCUCUCUGAAUUGUUAAGAAAAAAAGAUAAUUACGUCAAUAAUAAGUAUGAUGGGAAGUGCAUGAUUCCAAACAGACUUUCUUCAAUGAAGUUGUUGAUUGUGCUUGAUGACAUUGAUGAAAGAGAUCAUUUGGAGUAUUUAGCAGGUGGUGUUGGUUGGUUUGGUAAAGGCAGCAGAGUUAUUGUAACAACUAGAAACAGACAAUUGAUAGAGAAGGAUGUUGCAAUAUAUUAAGUGCCUACACUACCUGAUGAUGAUACUAUGCAAUUGUUCAAUCAACAUGCUUUCAAAAAAGAAGUUCCAGAUGAGUGUUUUAAGAAGUUCUCGUUGGAGGUAGUAAAUCACGCUAAAGGCCUUCCUUUAGCUCUCAAGGUGUGGGGUUGUUUGCUGCAUAAGAAAGGCCUAACUCAGUGGACAAGAACUGUAGACCAAAUAAAGAAAAACUCUAAUUCAGAAAUUGUUGAAAAACUCAAAAUAAGUUAUGAUGGGUUGGAGCCCGAAGAGCAAAAGAUAUUUCUAGAUAUCGCAUGUUUCUUCCAUGGACAUAAAAGAAAAGAAGUCAUGCAAAUUGUUGAUAGCUGUGAUUUUGGAGCUGAAUACAGAUUAGAUGUUCUAAUUGACAAAUCCCUUGGAUUCAUCUCUAAAUAUGAUAGAAUUGAAAUGCAUGACUUGAUUGAAGAUAUGAGCAAAUACAUAGUGAAAAUGCAAAAAGAUUCCGGAAAACUUAGCAGAAUAUUGAAGGUUGAAUAUUUCGAAGAUGUGAUGAUGGACAAUAUGGGGACCAUGGCAGUGAAAGCAAUCUGGUUUACUUAUUUUGAAGAACUAAGCUUUAAUAAAGAGGCAAUGAAAAAUAUGAAAAUGCUUAGGAUAUUAUGCAUACACAAUGGAGACGAAUAUAGUAGGAUGAGGGCCUCCUUUUCAUCUGACUCCAAUUGCCAUGCUGGCUCCAUUGAGUACCUUUCCAACAACUUGCGUUGGUUUGUCUGGCAUGAUUAUCCUUGGCAGUUAUUGCCAGAAAAUUUUAAUCCCAAAAGGCUCGUUCAUGUUGAUCUCCGAUGGAGUUCAUUGCAUUAUUUAUGGAAUGAAACAAAGCAACAAUUGCCGUCUCUACGGUUUCUAAAUCUAAGGGGCUCCAAAAGCCUGAAGAGAACACCAGAUUUCAAGGCGAUGCCAAAUUUAGAGUAUUUGGAUCUAAGAGAAUGUAGGAGUCUUGAAGAGGUUCAAAAUUCCCUGGGAUGUUCCAGAAAACUCAUUGGGUUAGAUUUGUCUUAUUGUGAAAGCCUUGAGAGGUUCCCAUAUGUUAAUGCAGAAUCUCUUAAAUCUCUGAAUCUGAAAUACUGCUCUAGUUUAGAGAAAUUUCCAGAAUUCCUCGGAAUAAUGAAGCCUGAGUUAUAUAUUACGAUGUCAUACUCUGGGAUAAGGGAACUGCCAUUAUCGAUCAUUCAUCCCCGAGCUCAUCUUAGAGACCUACAUUUGCCUGGUUUAAAAAACCUUGUAUCUCUUCCAAGCAGCAUUUGUAAGUUGAAAGGUUUGGUGAGGAUAGAUGUGUCCUUCUGCGUAAAACUUGAAAGAUUGCCAGAAGAGAUAGGCGAUUUAGAAAACUUGGAGCGCCUUGAUGCCCACUUUACUCUAAUCUCACGACCUCCAUCUUCCAUCAUCCGCUUGAACAAGCUUAAAUUCUUGACUUUUGCAAAACGAGUAGAUGGAGUGUACUUUUUUUUCCCUCAGGUGGAUGAAGGAUUACGCUCAUUGAAAUCUCUGGAUCUCAGUUAUUGCAAUAUAAUAGAUGGAGGACUUCCGGAAGACAUUGGAUCCUUAUCCUCUUUAAAAGAGUUGAAACUCGGUGGAAAUAAUUUUGAGCAUUUGCCUCGAAGCAUAGCCCAACUUGGUGCUCUUCAAACCUUGGACUUAUCACAUUGCAUGAGGCUUACACAACUGCCAGAAUUUCCACAACAACUACAUACAAUAGCGGCAGAUUGGAGCAAUGAUUCAAUUUGUAAUUCGUUGUUUCAGAAUAUCUCGUCAUUGCAGCAUGACUUAUGUACUUCAGAUUCCUUAUCAUUAGGAGUGUUCACCACUGAGGGGGAUAAUAUCCCAAGAUGGUUCCACCAUCGGGAAGAUGGUACAAGCAUAUAUGUCAAAUUGCCUAAAAAUUGGUAUGUAAGUGAGAACUUCUUGGGAUUUGCUGUAUGUUUCUCUUGCAAAUAUAAUGACGGCAUAGCUCACUUGUUUUGUUAUCAUGGGAGGCCGGUGACGUGUAUCGCCCAGAAACUUGCCUUAUCCAUCCAUUAAGAAUAUCCUUUUUUACCUGCUAUUCAUUUUUUCUUGGUACCUCUUACUGGCUUAUUGGAUAAAUUGAAGGCAAAUGGAAAAACACCAAAUGACUAUUGGUGCAUUAAGUUAACUUUUUCUGAAGAUGUGAAGAAGUGUGGACUUCGUUUGUUGUAUAAACACCAUGACUCUGUGACCAGAAUCUGUCGAAUACUCUGAAAGCAUUACAAGGGAAGUUGGGAAUAAGAUGAAACAAUCAAAGUGCAGCACAGUGUGAGACGGUGAAGUUGAGGUUCAUCACCCUCGUGAUCUCUUUCAGUUCUCGUGUACUUCUUUUGAAGGAAAAUGUGAAAUAUAAGAUGUUGUGAAAUCAUUGUGAUUAGGAAUAUUAUCUUACUGUCUGCUGUUUAGCUUGUUUCCUUCGAUCUUUAUAAAAGUAAUAAGUAGCGUCUAUAUCUCGAUUACUUAUUAUAAGUGGUUUCACUCUUUUGGUUUUUGAUACUUUUGCAGUGCAAACUGGGAUCAUGGUACUCUGAGAACAACAUCGGUAACUCUGCCUAUGAAGGACACAUGUUUCUUCUGUUUGUAACAUAACAACUAGAGUCUUGGCCUGAGAAAGAGAUUUGCGAAAGAACUUGGGUAUGCAAUAAUCUGUUCUCUUAUAUAUUAGUAAAGGUGACACGACAUCUCUCUUACACCAGAAUAUAUACCACGUUUCAUUAUGAAAUAAAAUCACAUCAUCUUAACAUUUGCUAA